CCAGAGAACUUAGCAGAGAUGCUUUGGUGCCUUCGGGGAACUCUGAGACAGGUGCUGCAUGGCUGUCGUCAGCUCGUGUUGUGAAAUGUUGGGCUAAGUCCCGNAACGAGCGCAACCCCUAUCCUUUGUUGCCAGCGAUUCGGUCGGGAACUCAAAGGAGACUGCCGGUGAUAAACCGGAGGAAGGUGGGGAUGACGUCAAGUCAUCAUGGCCCUUACGAGUAGGGCUACACACGUGCUACAAUGGCGCAUACAAAGAGAAGCGACCUCGCGAGAGCAAGCGGACCUCAUAAAGUGCGUCGUAGUCCGGAUUGGAGUCUGCAACUCGACUCCAUGAAGUCGGAAUCGCUAGUAAUCGUAGAUCAGAAUGCUACGGUGAAUACGUUCCCGGGCCUUGUACACACCGCCCGUCACACCAUGGGAGUGGGUUGCAAAAGAAGUAGAUAGCUUAACCUUCGGGAGGGCGUUUACCACUUUGUGAUUCAUGACUGGGGUGAAGUCGUAACAAGGUAAGCGUACGUGU
rnacentral:rRNA from 1 species